rnacentral:rRNA from 1 species
UACAGAGGGGGCAAGCGUUAUUCGGAAUUAUUGGGCGUAAAGGGCGCGUAGGCGGCCUUGUAAGUCUUGGGUGAAAUCCCUCAGCUCAACUGAGGAACUGCCUCGGAUACUGCAGGCUUGAGGCCGGGAGAGGGUAGUGGAAUUCCCAGUGUAGCGGUGAAAUGCGUAGAUAUUGGGAAGAACACCGGUGGCGAAGGCGGCGACCUGGUCCUUGACUGACGCUGAGGCGCGAAAGCGUGGGGAGCAAACAGG